UGAGCUUGAUCCUGGCUCAGGACGAACGCUGGCGGCAUGCCUAAUACAUGCAAGUCGAACGCUGAAGCCCGUGCUUGCACGGGUGGAAGAGUGGCGAACGGGUGAGUAACACGUGGGAAACCUGCCCAUAAGAGGGGGAUAACAGUCGGAAACGACUGCUAAUACCGCAUAGGUCAAGAAACCGCAUGGUUUCUGGAUGAAAGGAGGCUUCGGCUUCCGCUUAUGGAUGGUCCCGCGGCGUAUUAGCUAGUUGGUGAGGUAGAGGCUCACCAAGGCGAUGAUACGUAGCCGACCUGAGAGGGUGAUCGGCCACACUGGGACUGAGACACGGCCCAGACUCCUACGGGAGGCAGCAGUAGGGAAUCUUCCACAAUGGGUGAAAACCUGAUGGAGCAAUGCCGCGUGAGUGAAGAAGGUCUUCGGAUCGUAAAGCUCUGUUGUAAGAGAAGAACAGAUAGGGUAGUAACUGGCCUUAUUUGACGGUAUCUACCAAA
rnacentral:rRNA from 1 species